UAUUGGUAAAUAUUUAUAGAGAUAAAGAAAGUUUAAUUAUUGUACCUUUUGUAUCAGGGGAGUUUAAAAGAUAAUAUAAUUGUUAAUCGAGUAAUAUGGAACUUUUUAUUAAAGUAUUAGUUGAAUUUAAUAUUAUAAUUUUUUAUGAGGUGACAAAUGUACGGUGUAUUUGGUAUCUAUUUACUCUUUAAUGAAAAGGUUAAGUUUUUCAUUAUCUAUAUAAUUGUUAUUAUAUAAAGAAAACAAUGCUUUAAAUUAGCUAAGUUGUUAAAUUGUUUUAAAUAAUCUUUAAAGUUUUAGAUUUAAUAGAUUUUUAGGGUUAACUUUAGUAGUAAUGAUUUAGUUUAAUAAUGAAUUUAUUGAAUAUAAAGUGAAAAUAUAAAUUUACUCGGAGUAAAUUAGAAAGUUUAACAAAAACAUUUUUUUUUUGUUAAUAAAGUAUGGCCUGCCCAGUGAGUAUUAAACGGCUGCGGUAUUUUGACUGUGCUAAGGUAGCAUAAUCAUUUGCUUCUUAAUUGGUAGCUGGAAUGAACGGUUGAGCUGGUUUAAUAAGUGUGUAUAUUUAAAUAGAAAGUUAAAGUCAAGGUAAUAAUUCUUUGAUAUUUUAGGGGACGAUAAGACCCUAAAAGCUUAAUAAAUAUUAUAAUGGUUUUGUUUUUCAAGUUAGUUUGUUUUACUGGGGCGGUACUAGUAUUUUAACUAUUAGAUAGAUUAAGAUCCUUAAAAUAAAGAUGGAGCGUAAAAGUUACUUUAGGGAUAACAGUGCAAUAUUUUUGGAGAGAUCUUAUCAAUAAAUAUGCUUGCAACCUCGAUGUUGAAUUAAAAUUUCUACGUGAAGCAGAAGGUAUAGUAGAGGGUUUGUUCAACCUUUAAAUUUUUACAUGAUUUGAGUUCAAAUCGGUUUAAGCCAGAUUGGAUUUUAUCUCUAAAUAUUCUUUAAAUCUUUUUAGUACGAAAGGGUUGAUUGGUUUUUGUUAGC
rnacentral:rRNA from 1 species